CAGAGAGCACCAAACAAGAUAAACCCAAAGAGAUGCACACCAAGACACAUUAUUAAAAUAUCAAGAAUUAAAGGUUAAGAGAGAAUCCUGAAAGCUGCAAGAGAAAGGCAACAAGUGACAGACAAAGGAAAACCCAGAAGGUUAUCAGCUAUGACAGACAGGCUUAACAGCAACACUCAUACCCAGAGUGAACUUCUCCACAACCCACUCUCCUCCACAAACGUAUAACACAAAAGGGCACAGACAUUCAUCUUGGAGAACACCUGUGUCUGCUGUCCUCAAUUCUUGUUCCAACCAUGAGAUCAGACGUGAUUUCAACAGGUGAUACCCUGUCCACAGGGAAACAUACAUCAAUGGAAGAGGCUCAUGAAAGAGAUGACAAAUCUUCCCACCAAUCUCUUACCUCCCAACUUCUAACCCAAAUCUUCUCUCCAAAGUAAUCGACCCAGCUUCUUGCCUGUGAAACUUCAUGUCAAGUUUCAAACAGGGACCUGGAGGGACUAACCCCACCAGAAUGGCAUAAAGACUAUUUUAAACUGAGAACAUCUGAACAAACAGCAGCUGCAGAGAAAAGCCUUCCUACAUUCCCUGUGAUGAGUAAAGCAGGCCUUUCUGAGGAUUCAGAUGCCAUAACCCGCUCCAAGGGAUCCUCUGUAAGGCAGGAGCCUGACUUGCCAUCAAGUCAGGGGAACUGUGUAAACAAGUCCUAUCAGAACCUUCCAUCCUUUCCCACUGAAUCCUUAACACCCCCUCCCCAUCCCAUUAAGCUGGUGUAUAAAACCUUAUCUCUGGCCGUUAGGAGAGCUACCCCUUAGAGCGUGCUCCUGCAUCCAUACAUAAUAAACUUUUCUCCUAUUAAUAUGUUUAUGUAAAUUUUAUGUAAUUUUUCUCCUAUUAAUAAUAAUAAUAUUAUAUUAAUUAAUAUAAUAUUAAUUAAUAAUUAAUAUUAAUAUAGUGGCCCUCAAACGCUUGAUCCUAAGUUGCUAGAGGAAAAUAUUUCCUCCCAAUGACACUUUCUAGACUUCUCUGGAUACACCAAAGUCUUCAAAUACAUAACGAAAUUUAGAAACCUUGAUUUUGUUUGAAGGUGGAAGAAUCCAAUGUACAUAUGCACAGGCUUUCUGGGAGUCCUUUUAAACUUGUCUGAAACAAUAAACUUUGGGUAGUAAAAAAAAAAA